rnacentral:rRNA from 1 species
UACAGAGGCCCCAAGCAUUAUCCGGAUUUACUGGGCGUAAAGGGUGCGUAGGCGGUUAUAUUAGUCAGAUGUCAAAUCUCCGAGCUCAACUCGGAAUCCGCAUUUGAAACGGUAUAACUAGAAUAAGUCAGAGGCAAGCAGAACUCAUGGUGUAGGGGUGAAAUCCGUUGAUAUCAUGGGGAAUACCAAAUGCGAAGGCAGCUUGCUGGGACUUUAUUGACGCUGAGGCACGAAAGCGUGGGUAGCGAAG